GGAAUUAUGGUUCAACGGUAGGAUACGGCCAUUGGGCAUACCCUGGGGCCGUGAUGUGGGUUCGAAUCCUACUAAAUCCC
rfam:Pyronema omphalodes CBS 100304, CBS100304, WGS project CATG01000000 data, contig: Pcon_v1_contig710